UUUGAUCCUGGCUCAGAUUGAACGCUGGCGGCAGGCCUAACACAUGCAAGUCGAACGGUAGCAGGAUGUGCUUGCACAUCGCUGACGAGUGGCGGACGGGUGAGUAAUGCUUAGGGAUCUGCCUCUGUGUGGGGGAUAACUAUUGGAAACGAUAGCUAAUACCGCAUAAUGUUUACGGACCAAAGGGGGCUUUUAGCUCCCGCGCAGAGAGGAACCUAAGUGAGAUUAGCUAGUUGGUGGGGUAAAGGCUCACCAAGGCGACGAUCUCUAGCUGUUCUGAGAGGAAGAUCAGCCACACUGGGACUGAGACACGGCCCAGACUCCUACGGGAGGCAGCAGUGGGGAAUAUUGCACAAUGGGGGAAACCCUGAUGCAGCCAUGCCGCGUGUGUGAAGAAGGCCUUCGGGUUGUAAAGCACUUUNCAGUUGUGAGGAAAGGUUGAUGGUUAAUACC
rnacentral:rRNA from 1 species